rnacentral:rRNA from 1 species
GAUGAACGCUGGCGGCGUGCUUAACACAUGCAAGUCGAACGGAAAGGCUCCUGCUUGCAGGGGUACUCGAGUGGCGAACGGGUGAGUAACACGUGGGUGAUCUGCCCUGCACUUCGGGAUAAGCCUGGGAAACUGGGUCUAAUACCGGAUAGGACCACAUUUUGGAUGGUGGGGUGGAAAGUUUUUCGGUGUGGGAUGGGCUCGCGGCCUAUCAGCUUGUUGGUGGGGUAAUGGCCUACCAAGGCGUCGACGGGUAGCCGGCCUGAGAGGGUGUACGGCCACAUUGGGACUGAGAUACGGCCCAGACUCCUACGGGAGGCAGCAGUGGGGAAUAUUGCACAAUGGGCGCAAGCCUGAUGCAGCGACGCCGCGUGGGGGAUGACGGCCUUCGGGUUGUAAACUCCUUUCGCUAGGGACGAAGCGCAAGUGACGGUACCUGGAGAAGAAGCACCGGCUAACUACGUG